GACGAACGCUGGCGGCGUGCCUAAUACAUGCAAGUAGAACGCUGAAGGAAGGAGCUUGCUCUUUCUGGAUGAGUUGCGAACGGGUGAGUAACGCGUAGGUAACCUGCCUGGUAGCGGGGGAUAACUAUUGGAAACGAUAGCUAAUACCGCAUAAAAUUGAUUAUUGCAUGAUAGUCAAUUAAAAGGUGCAACUGCACCACUACCAGAUGGACCUGCGUUGUAUUAGCUAGUUGGUGGGGUAACGGCUCACCAAGGCCACGAUACAUAGCCGACCUGAGAGGGUGAUCGGCCACACUGGGACUGAGACACGGCCCAGACUCCUACGGGAGGCAGCAGUAGGGAAUCUUCGGCAAUGGACGGAAGUCUGACCGAGCAACGCCGCGUGAGUGAAGAAGGUUUUCGGAUCGUAAAGCUCUGUUGUAAGAGAAGAACGAGUGUGAGAGUGGAAAGUUCACACUGUGACGGUAUCUUACCAGAAAGGGACGGCUAACUACGUG
rnacentral:rRNA from 1 species